rnacentral:rRNA from 1 species
GACGAACGCUGGCGGCGUGCUUAACACAUGCAAGUCGAACGGAAAGGCCCUGCUUUUGUGGGGUGCUCGAGUGGCGAACGGGUGAGUAACACGUGAGUAACCUGCCCUUGACUUUGGGAUAACUUCAGGAAACUGGGGCUAAUACCGGAUAGGAGCUCCUGCUGCAUGGUGGGGGUUGGAAAGUUUCGGCGGUUGGGGAUGGACUCGCGGCUUAUCAGCUUGUUGGUGGGGUAGUGGCUUACCAAGGCUUUGACGGGUAGCCGGCCUGAGAGGGUGACCAGCCACAUUAGGACUGAGCUACCGCCCAGUCUCCUACGGGAGGCAGCAGUGGGGAAUAUUGCACAAUGGGCCGAAGCCUGACGCAGCCACGCCGCGUGCGGAAUGACGGCCUUCGGGUUGUAACCCGCUUUCGCCUGUGACGAAGCGUCAGUGACGGUAAUGGGUAAAGAAGCACCGGCUAACUACGUG